AUCCAGCUGACGAGUCCCAAGAUUAGACGAAACAAGUUUCCUGUAU
rnacentral:hammerhead_ribozyme from 1 species